rnacentral:rRNA from 1 species
GACGAACGCUGGCGGCGUGCCUAAUACAUGCAAGUAGAACGCUGAAGAGAGGAGCUUGCUCUUCUUGGAUGAGUUGCGAACGGGUGAGUAACGCGUAGGUAACCUGCCUGGUAGCGGGGGAUAACUAUUGGAAACGAUAGCUAAUACCGCAUAAAAUUGAUUAUUGCAUGAUAAUUAAUUGAAAGAUGCAAUUGCAUCACUACCAGAUGGACCUGCGUUGUAUUAGCUAGUUGGUGAGGUAACGGCUCACCAAGGCGACGAUACAUAGCCGACCUGAGAGGGUGAUCGGCCACACUGGGACUGAGACACGGCCCAGACUCCUACGGGAGGCAGCAGUAGGGAAUCUUCGGCAAUGGGGGGAACCCUGACCGAGCAACGCCGCGUGAGUGAAGAAGGUUUUCGGAUCGUAAAGCUCUGUUGUAAGAGAAGAACGGGUGUGAGAGUGGAAAGUCACA